UUUCCUACGGGAGGCAGCAGUGGGGGAUAUUGCACAAUGGGGGGAACCCUGAUGCAGCGACGCCGCGUGGGUGAAGAAGCGCCUCGGCGCGUAAAGCCCUGUCAGCAGGGAAGAAAAUGACGGUACCUGAAGAAGAAGCACCGGCUAACUACGUGCCAGCAGCCGCGGUAAUACGUAGGGGGCAAGCGUUAUCCGGAUUUACUGGGUGUAAAGGGGGCGCAGACGGCGAGGCAAGCCAGGAGUGAAAGCCCGGGGCCCAACCCCGGGACGGCACUGGGAACUGCGUGGCUGGAGUGUGGGAGGGG
rnacentral:rRNA from 1 species